rnacentral:tRNA from 1 species
GGCGGAAGUAGUUCAGUGGUAGAAUGCUUGCUUGUCAAGGAAGAGGUCGCGAGUUCGAAUCCCGUCUUCCGCUU